UGCACUGUAGCUUAGUGGAUAGAGCCUUGGACUGGGACUCCGGAGGUCUGGGUUCUAUUCCUGACUCUGCCA
rnacentral:tRNA from 1 species